AAAGCAGCCCAGGGCCGCCGCCCAGCGCCCCCGAGCCCCGAGGAGAGCCGUCGCGACCGGGGGCUGCCUGGGCAAGGGCGGGGCGAGAGGGCAGAACGCCUGCUCUCGGACAGGGUGUUCUUAAAAUACACCGGAAAGAACGGAGGUAAAAAUACUGGAGUGUUUCCUCCACACUGGAAAGAGAUCUGGGGACCCUUCACCUGCCUCUACUACUGCAAAUGAUUGGAUAUUCGUCUGACUUGGCUCUUCCCUAAUGUGUGGAACUAAUUUUGUUCACUCUGUUUCAUGCUGGACCUGGCCUGAAAAUGGGCCCUUAUAUUGUCUUUGCACUUUCCAACUUGCCAAGAGUUUCACUCUUGAUGCCCAGGCUGGAGUGCAAUGGUGUGAUCUCAGCUCACUGCAACCUUGCCUCCCAGUUUCUGAAAGAAGGACCAAAGUAAUGCCAAGAACUCCCAGAUGAAGAGGACCUUCCUUAGACCUAUAACAGAUUCACUACUUGACUUCAGAGGGAAGUUUCAGCUAAUUCUCAGGAAAAGGUCAAAACAGGCCUGUGACUGUCCCUUGAAUACUGAAGGUAUAAACAAGCUUCUGGCUCCUCCAGGUCAAGCAGAGGAACACUUUUAUUAGAAUGAAGGGUUACUUCUUUGUUAUUCAAACACACACCCACACACAUCCUCUGUAGUCUCCCUAAUGAAAAACCUCAACAGAUGGAGAGCCUGAGCUCCCAAGUCCGCAGGCUGAGAAGAUGCACUUCACUCAAGGGCCAGUGGGCUGGUACAGACUAGGGAAGAGAAAAGGGACAAAGGCUGCUAGUAUAGGUAAUCACUAUCUUUUAAUACUCCUAACACAUAGAAAUUCGAAAAAUCUUGUUCAGCAAUGUUAGCAGCCUGUGAGCCUCGGAAACUAAUUUGGCUGAUGUGUCUCUGAUAGGGAGCUUGGGGCUGCACCAAGGGGAAACAUUCUCCUCCUGUAUUCUCUCCUCUCUCUCGUUUGAAAGCCUGUACAAAGAAAUGGUACAAAUGGAUGGUUAACUUAAUGAUUCCAUCAGAGGCAGAUUUUUCUCUGUCAGGUCCCUGGAUAAGGUGGAGGUCUGAAAGCCAGGAGACAGAAUAUGUACUUAAUCGCCCUUUCUGACCUGCUUACCAGUGACCAGGACUACUCUCCAGGCCUUUCUUCUGCCACUUCCCCAUUCUUCCUGGCUAGUUCAGUUGGGUCUCAGCACUUCAACUCCUGGCUGGAUCCUGAGUUUUUCUUGGUUGCAGGGAAAGCUCUCACUGUCUGCAUCUCCUUCCCCACCCCCACCUCCCGUUUUGCAGCUGGCCAUUCUGGCUGCCUCACAGCUAUCCUGCCUUAAUUCAUAUUUGAUUGCCUGGACAGAACCACCUAGAAUGUCCAGACGACUGCCACCCCUCAGCCAUGGGCCUGAGAUCCUGCCCUGACCCCUUUCUUCAGACCCCAGGAGGACCCACAAUCUCCCUGAUCCCCACCUUCCCCAAAGUAGUCUCUAGGAAAAAAGCAGAGCUGGCUAAGGCCUGAGACAGAGCCAUUUCUUCCCCUUGGGCAAACGAGGUAGACCCUCCCAGAGACCAAUGCCGGAGAGGCCCGGAUCCGAGCUCCCUUUAUAUGGCCUCCCCCAUCACGGAUCCCGUGGGAAAACCUGACACACAAUGGCGCGGCUGCUCCGGGCACCCUCAACCCAGCGCCCUGCGGCAAGGCCUGGAGCAGCCUGGUGGUCUUGGUGCGCUCCCUUUGCCCUCCCCGCAACCCUCUGCGAGCACUCGUCCCAGGAGAGAGACCCUGGCUAGGGUGGAGGUUGCCUCCCGCAAAGGGCGCUGUUGCUGGGGCCUCCCCUCCCCCAUUCUCUUGUUUUUCUGCUUCUGAGACUCGGGAGGGAGGCGGCAGGCGCCUCCGCAGCCGAUAGAGCAGCUAUUGUGACCUUCCCUUGCAGAGCGGGAACCCAGCCGAGUGUGUACCGCCGGCGGUGGCGGGGGAGGAGGCGACUGUGUGUGCAAACCUCAGUCGGAGAGGGGGUGGCGCUGGGAAAUAAAGGUUUGCAACCUCAGGCAGUUGGGCCCUUCAGAGGGCGUUUGGUUGUGUUUAGACUCGGUUGCUUUCUAACACUAAUUGCAGGCUCAAAAGGAGCGGAAUUUAUUGCGAAGGCCAAGGCGGCUUGUUUAUAAUUUAUGAAGUUUUAAAUGGCUGUGCCGCGGGCCCCAACUUUCUCCUGGGCUGGCAGCCGCGCGGAAACGCGCCCUCCCCCGGCUCGCCGCCCACCCCCACCCACGCCCCUCAGAUGAGUCUCACGCCAAUGGCAGGAACAGAUCCGAGCUAUUAGAAGUCUCGGGAACCUCCAGAGAUGACAGAAGGUGGCAGAUUUGGUCCAAGCCCUCACCCCACUCGAGAGGAGGGCGUCGGGGAAAGCUGUGGCUGCCUGGAGAGGGAGCCCCUGAUCCCACACUUCCUUGGAGCCUGAGUGUGAGAGGAAGCUAAUGUCAGCCGGGCUAGACACCGUUUAAAGUCUAAUCCAUGAAACCCUAAGCCGCAAAUGACACUUGGGGCUUUGCAGACACCCGCAGACUCAGCAGAUACUCCUGCGGUAACACACUGUGCUGGAAAACGCCUGGAGCCAUGACACAUUACGUAUUUUUAUUAUUAUUUAUGGUAGGAAGAGGAGAUGAGGGAAAAUCGGGCUGAAUCUAAGCAGCCUGACAAUUCAGCUAGUUAAUAUUUAGCCAGUUAAGAAAGGUGGUUGUAAUCCCUGCAAGGCAGUGAGCUCUCCUUUGAUUUCUCUAAUAGCUUAAAAAAUAAUUUCUUACAAGACAAUUAGAAAUUCUGCCUAUGGAUGCA
ensembl:lncRNA HAGLR HOXD antisense growth-associated long non-coding RNA